GAAAUUGAUAGUUAUGCCAGGCUAUGGCAUGUUCUGAUUAUCAGUGAAAAAUCCCUGGAGUUGCAUCUUCUGGCUCGCAGACUGAUCUAGACAAACGGCAGAUUUCUUCAUAAGAAAGGUGUUUCUCAUCUGUAAUGACUCUUCUGGAUGCUUCAAGCCAUAUCUCUACAGGAGAUUCAUGUAUACACUGAUAGUUUCCUGAAAGUGUGGAAAUUACGAUCCUUCCAAGGUAUAUAAAAAAAGGUAAACAGUGGUGAGAAUACAUAUUUAGUAUCACAUAUUUCUGGAAAUCUUACUAUGAUGAGUUUACACAUCAAAUCUUGAGAUUCUUUCACCUGUCUAUUGCCUCCUAGUGCAUUCUAUAUUAUAUUUCCAAUAGCCUCUACAACAACAUAAAGCUGCAAAGGAUUUCACUGCUUUUGACUCCUCUACUUUGAUGCAAUCCCUGAAUGGGUCUCCCAGGCUAAGGGAACAGGAUUUAGUUGCAGGUGUGAACAUUUGUGUGGUUUUCUUCACUUCUCUUUCAACCCACCUCCUGUCCCACAGGUAGAGUUGCUUGUGCCACACACCUCUUAUGUGACUGUAGUAAGUCACUUAUCUCUUCAAAAAACUGUGUUUCCUUGCUCCAAUAUAUCAAAUUGGGGAAAAAAACCCCAAUGUUUUCUUUCUUAAGCAUGCCUACUUGGGCAGAAAUUUUG